rnacentral:rRNA from 1 species
AUUGAACGCUGGCGGCAGGCCUAACACAUGCAAGUCGAACGAGUGGCGGACGGGUGAGUAAUGUCUGGGAAACUGCCUGAUGGAGGGGGAUAACUACUGGAAACGGUAGCUAAUACCGCAUACCAUCAGAUGUGCCCAGAUGGGAUUAGCUAGUUGGUGGGGUAACGGCUCACCAAGGCGACGAUCCCUAGCUGGUCUGAGAGGAUGACCCGGCAAACUGGGAAUGAGACAAGGUUCCGACUCCUACGGGAGGGCGCAGGUGGGAAUAUUGCACCAUGGGCGCAAUGCUGAUGUAGCCAUGCCGCGUGUAUGGAGGAGGCCCUCGGGUUGUAAAGUACUUUCAGCGGGGAGGCGUUACCCGCAGAAGAAGCACCGGCUAACUCCGUGCCAGCAGCCGCGGUAAUUC